AGUGAACGCUGGCGGUAGGCCUAACACAUGCAAGUCGAACGGCGGCACAGUAAGAGCUUGCUCUUACGGGUGGCGAGUGGCGGACGGGUGAGGAAUACAUCGGAAUCUACUUUUUCGUGGGGGAUAACGUAGGGGAACUUACGCUAAUACCGCAUACGACCUACGGGUGAAAGCAGGGGAUCUUCGGACCUUGCGCGAAUGAAUGAGCCGAUGUCGGAUUAGCUAGUUGGCGGGGUAAAGGCCCACCAAGGCGACGAUCCGUAGCUGGUCUGAGAGGCUGAUCAGCCACACUGGAACUUGGACACGGUCCAGGCUCCUACGGGAGGCAGCAGUGGGGAAUAUUGGACAAUGGGCGCAAGCCUGAUCCAGCCAUACCGCGUGGGUGAAGAAGGCCUUCGGGUUGUAAAGCCCUUUUGUUGGGAAAGAAAAGCAGCAGGUUAAUACCCCGCUGUUCUGACGGUACCCAAAGAAUAAGCACCGGCUAACUUCGUG
rnacentral:rRNA from 1 species